rnacentral:rRNA from 1 species
GACGAACGCUGGCGGCGUGCUUAACACAUGCAAGUCGAACGGAAUGGCCCUGCUUUUGUGGGGUGCUCGAGUGGCGAACGGGUGAGUAACACGUGAGUAACCUGCCCUUGACUUUGGGAUAUCUUCAGGAAACUGGGGCUAAUACCGGAUAGGAGCUCCUGCUGCAUGGUGGGGGUUGGAAAGUUUCGGCGGUUGGGGAUGGACUCGCGGCUUAUCAGCUUGUCGGUGGGGUAGUGGCUUACCAAGGCUUUGACGGGUAGCCGGCCUGAGAGGGUGACCGGCCACAUUGGGACUGAGAUACGGCCCAGACUCCUGCGGGAGGCAGCAGUGGGGAAUAUUGCACAAUGGGCGGAAGCCUGAUGCAGCAACGCCGCGUGCGGGAUGACGGCCUUCGGGUUGUAAACCGCUUUCGCCUGUGACGAAGCGUGAGUGACGGUAAUGGGUAAAGAAGCACCGGCUAACUACGUG